rnacentral:rRNA from 1 species
AGAGUUUGAUUCUGGCUCAGANCGNACGCUGGCGGCAGGCCUAACACAUGCAAGUCGAGCGCGCCUUCGGGCGAGCGGCGGACGGAUUAGUAACGCGUGGGAAUAUGCCCAGAUCUAAGGAAUAGCCACUGGAAACGGUGAGUAAUACCUUAUACGCCCUUCGGGGGAAAGAUUUAUCGGAUUUGGAUUAGCCCGCGUUAGAUUAGGUAGUUGGUGGGGUAAUGGCCUACCAAGCCUACGAUCUAUAGCUGGUUUUAGAGGAUGAUCAGCAACACUGGGACUGAGACACGGCCCAGACUCCUACGGGAGGCAGCAGUGGGGAAUCUUGGACAAUGGGGGCAACCCUGAUCCAGCCAUGCCGCGUGAGUGAUGAAGGCCUUAGGGUCGUAAAGCUCUUUCGCCUGUGAAGAUAAUGACGGUAGCAGGUAAAGAAACCCCGGCUAACUCCGUGCCAGCAGCCGCGGUAAUACGGAGGGGGUUAGCGUUGUUCGGAAUUACUGGGCGUAAAGCGCACGUAGGCGGAUCGGAAAGUUGGGGGUGAAAUCCCGGGGCUCAACCCCGGAACUGCCUCCAAAACUAUCGGUCUAGAGUUCGAGAGAGGUGAGUGGAAUUCCAAGUGUAGAGGUGAAAUUCGUAGAUAUUUGGAGGAACACCAGUGGCGAAGGCGGCUCACUGGCUCGAUACUGACGCUGAGGUGCGAAAGUGUGGGGAGCAAACAGGAUUAGAUACCCUGGUAGUCCACACUGUAAACGAUGAAUGCCAGUCGUCGGGUAGCAUGCUAUUCGGUGACACACCUAACGGAUUAAGCAUUCCGCCUGGGGAGUACGGUCGCAAGAUUAAAAACUCAAAGGAAUUGACGGGGGCCCGCACAAGCGGUGGAGCAUGUGGUUUAAUUCGAACAACGCGCANAACCUUACCAACCCUUGACAUC